AAUUAGUAAGACUAGUUUACUCAAUGUUUUCUAUAAAUAGGGAGGUAUCCAUCUAGUGUUAUGUAUGUAGAAGAAGUGAGAAAAAUCUCUCAAAAAAUUAGAGAAAGAGUGUGCUGUAGUAACUUCUUUGUAAUUCCUCAAAUUUCAUAAAAAAAAUUCAUAUUUCUCUUAUCUAUUUCCUUCUACUCCGAACAAAUUCUGGUAUCAAGAGUGUGCUAUAGCAACUCCUUUGUAAUUCCUCAAAUUUCAUAUUUCUCUUAUCUAUUUCCUUCUUCACCCAACAAAUUUUGGUAUCAAAGCUUAGGCAAAAUACACAAACCAAGUCCUACCAAAAGUCGAAACAAAAUUAGCCUAAAAAACCACCAUAGCAGCAACAUAUUUUUAACAGAAACUGGGCAGCUAUGGCAGCAAAUUCAGCAGCCUUCUUGUUCACUUAUUCACCAAGUCAAGUACCAAUCUUUAAAGGUGAGCACUAUGAAUAUUGGAGUAGUCAAAUGCAAACUUUCUUCACCUCUUUAGAUUUAUGGGAUGUCAUUGAAGAUGAUGAGGUGGUAGAAGAUUCGACUGAAGGAGAUGAAGAAGAUCCAAAGUUACAAAAAGAAUAUAAAAAGAAAGAUGCAAUGGCGUUGCUAUAUAUUCAACAAGGAGUUGGAAAAUCAAUUUUUCCUCGUAUAUUUGGUGUUAAAAAAAAGCCAAAGAUGCAUGAAAAAUUUUAAAUCAAGAAUUUCAAGGUUUGAAGAAAACUAUCGCCUUGAAACUUCAAUCUUUACAGAAAGAUUUUGACAAUCUCAAAAUGGAAGAACAAGAGUCGGUUCGCGAUUGCUCUUCUCGAGUUUCGGAGAUUGUAACCAAAUCAAAAGUUGUGGAGAUACAAUUAAAGACAAAAGAAUUGUUGAGAAAGUGCUUCGAUGUCUCCCUUCAAAAUUCGAUAAUGUAGCUGCCGCAAUUGAAGAAUCAAAGGAGUUGUCUAAGAUGACCAUGUAUGAGUCGACUGGGUCACUCUUGCACAUGAGCAAAGAAUCAAUCGUUCGGCUAGUCAACCAACCGAACAAGCUUUCCAAUCGAAGCAAGCACUAAAAAUAAGUUCAAGCAAUCAUGGAGGUUCAAACAACAAAAAGGGAAAGUUUAGCAAGUGGAGUCAAAAUGAAAAGCAAAGCAAUUGGAAAGCCAAGGCACCGCAACAAUUCGGUAAUGUUCAAUCUUGCAUUAUUUGCAAAAAGAACAAUCAUGAAUCAAAAGAUUGCUAUUUUAAAUGAAAAAGAUGCCAAGUCCCUAAUCAUUCUCAAAAGGAUUGUUGGUUUCAAAAUGAGAAAAAUGA
rnacentral:lncRNA from 1 species